UACGUAGGUGGCAAGCGUUGUCCGGAUUUAUUGGGCGUAAAGGGCGCGUAGGCGGCGACCCAAGUCAGAUGUGAAAGUCCUGGGCUUAACCUGGGGACUGCAUUUGAUACUGGGUUGCUUGAAUUCGGGAGAGGAUAGCGGAAUUCCCAGUGUAGAGGUGAAAUUCGUAGAUAUUGGGAAGAACACCGGUGGCGAAGGCGGCUAUCUGGACCGACAUUGACGCUGAGGCGCGAAAGCGUGGGGAGCAAACAGG
rnacentral:rRNA from 1 species